AAGUGACUUUGGCUGGCUUUGGUAAAUCACUUAGCAAAGAUCUGCUGACGUCACUU
rnacentral:pre_miRNA from 1 species